rnacentral:rRNA from 1 species
GACGAACGCUGGCGGCGUGCCUAAUACAUGCAAGUAGAACGCAGUUGCGAAAGGGUGAGUAACGCGUAGGCAACUGCCUGGGAGCGGGGGAUAACUAUGGGAAACGAUAGCUAAUACCGCAUACUACCAGAUGGACCUGCGUUGUAUUAGCUAGUUGGUGGGGUAACUGCUCACCAAGGCAACGAUACAUAGCCGGCCUGGGAGGGUGGUCGGGCACACUGGGACUGAGACAUGGCCCAGACUCCUACCGGAGGCAGCAGUAGGGGAUCUUUGGAAAUGGGGGGAACCCUUACCGGGCAACGCCGCGUGAGUGGAGAAGGUUUUCGGAUCGUAAAGCUCUUUUGUUAAGGAAGCGGUACUUAAAGAGAAAGGGACGGCUAACUACGUGCCAGCAGCCGCGGUAAUUG